AAUAAUAAAGUUGACUUAUGAUCUCUCCUCCUUCUUCCACCUCAGCAUAGAGCAUAAGGCAAUUACUGACACGUGGCCUCCUCUCUUUAACUAUUUUGAAAUGUUUGUCAUUGGAGAUUUGUAACUUGAGCUAACUAUAAUCUGAUUAAUGGAAUGGACUAUUAAAGCUUUAGAAAAGAGGCCCAUAUUUUACAGGGUUUGGUUUGUUUUCCCGGUUGACAUGCAGAGUAUAAUCGGCUUGACUCUUCAGAUCUCACUUCUCCUACCUUUGUCUGUAUAACGGCUUGACUUACCGACUAUCCUCUUUCAGAUACAUUAAUUUUUGCAUUUACGUGUUUAUAAAUGGGAUCGUAGCCUGCGAUUAUCAGACCCACCACUCUUAACAAUGGGCUUCUAUCCGAGGUCUCCCUGAUUCGCGCUUUCGUACCAAAGUCGAGGGAUUCUUCGUCUUUCCAAAUCGAGGUAUUGUUAGAAAUCCUUCUUCUAGGACCUGACUGUGAUUCUCGAUUUCAAAUCUCUAAUGCGUUUGAUUUGCUUUUGAGAAGUGGAUAGAAAGGAAUAUGGGAUAGAUUAUAUCUUCUCCUUACUUCUGGUGUUAUUCUAUACAAGGAUAUUUCACUUUCAUGGAUUUUAUACGCCAUAGAAUUUGAGAUUUGAAUCGAAUGAAACCAUAGCCUCAAAAGCUUUGAGCCAGAAGUCUUAUGUCUUAGUGUUACUGACUAUAGCUGUUUGUUCUUCUUCUUUUUCUUUUCUAGGCUGUCUUUAAUUAGUGUCUAUUGUUUUAAAAUUUUGUUUUUCAGUGGAUUCUAUCUCCCAAAUACACCGACUUAUGAACCAUAUGGGAUUUUCUAAGUUCGUGGCCUUCCUUCUUAUUUGCGUAUUCAAGGUAUUCUAAGCUUCAUGCUCAUCCGGCGUAUUUGACCUUUUGUAUAAUUAUCAAGUAAAUAAGUAUCUUAUCUUCUUCUAUAAUGCAGGUUGUCGCACCUGUUAGAAUGACAUUCUAAAUGUAAGCCUGCCUAUUUUAUUCUUUCCUAUACUUCUUCUUCUAUCAUAUCUUUCUUUUUCUCAUAUUUGGAUUUCAGCCCUUUUGGAUACGUGACAUGUAUGAUACCUAUAAGCACGUUCUUUGCAUCCAUCCUCUGGUAAAUCUUCAUACAGCCGGAAGUAUAAAUUUUAUAGAUGUCAUUUUGUCUGAGUCUGCUGUCUCUUGAUCAUUCUGUUUACUCCCUUUUGCAGGUCUGUAAAUACUGCAUAUUUGGACAUUUCAAUUGCCUUCAUACAGAUUUUCAAAGGACACCACUCUCUUUUUGCUCAAAGCUUAUUUUAUAACUGUUGCAUUGAAUGUUGAUGCAAAGCUGCCAACGAUGUCGCUUAUCGCUUCAGACUUCAGCUUCUUGCCCGGUGUGAAAGAGCUCCAUUGGUCUCAACAACGAGAACACCACAGGUUGCCCUGAUGCUACAAUUGAUGAAGCAAGCACAAUGGACUCAACACCACUACCUUGUCAAGCGGAGACAGUGAUAAGCAUUGACAACAUAGCAAGUGAUUUCUCGUGGAAACAACAACAAUGCAUAAAAAGUAUUAGCUAAUCAUCAACAGCAUGAAGUGAAAUAAAGGUUUGGGGAUGCUUAGUGUUAGAGUGAGAUGCAAGUCGUGUAACUUCAAUCUCUGUUUAUGUUAUUGUUUACUUUGCUUUAUAAAAACCAAGCUGGAUUUUAUCAAGAAAACUUUUAAAAAUUGAUUUAUUAUUGUUUACUUUACUUUCUUAAAAUAAUCUUUAAGCCCUUAUGUAUUGACUCCUACCAUCAACUGAACGUUAAAGAUAAAACCAUAAAAGAAGAAAACAAGAAAACCGUUAUACAUACGGACAGUACACCACUUAGUAAUUUAAGACCAAAAAAAUGGCUCUCUUCCAUUAGUAAAAACUUUUAACAUUUUAACUCUGCAGGAGUCAAAAUGCAUAAACAUCCAUCGAAAGCUAAAGACUCCAAGUCUGAUUUCUCCGUCCAUGUACUAAAAAAAUCUAUUGUUAGUUCGGAACUUCAAAUUCUUAAUUCGAAAAAACAACGUCCGAAUCCGGCGCUGCGCGCCGGAACACCCUAGUUUCGAAAUAAACUUACAAUUUUAUACUCCCUCUGUUUCACAAUAGAUGAAGUUUUGGUUAUUUGCACACAUAUUAAGAAAUUAUUUUUUCUAAACAAAAAAUCAUUAAAAUAUAAUUUAAAACUAAUUUAUCUAAUUAUAAACAAAAAUAAUAAAAACACAAUUGGCUACACAAUUUUUGAUAAAGUUAAAGUUAUCUAGAUAUGUGAAAACAUCAUCUAUUGUGAAACAAAAAUAAUCACCUAAAACAUCAUCUAUAUUGAAAC